CUGAAACAAACGGAGGAGAUUCUCGCAAGGAUACAACAUAGAGAAUAAGCUACCGUGAGAUGUGAACGAGCAAUGGCUUAUGCUUUCUUUCAUCAGGUUAAUGGAAAACUGAAGAUUCAUUUACAUUAAUUGGUUUGUAUGUUAGAUAACUUGUGGCUCAAGUAAAUUUGUGUUUUGCAGUGGAGAGCUAAUGCUUCACAUUAUCUAGGUCAAGCUUCCUUUAACUUAACUGAGGAUGGAGUUGCAAAGAAAGGGGACAUCCGCUCGACCUAGGGAGAGUAGCAGCUCCCUGUCAAGUAACUAAACCGAGUAAACCAUAUACAAAAUGUGAUCACAAGGAAGACUACUACUAAACCAGUUUUGCCAAACAGCAAAGAAGCUGCAAAAUUCAACAAAAUAAAAAAUUGGUUCCUGAUGAUUUUGAUUAGGGUUAUGAAAUAAAGAAAUAAAUAGUCUAUUUUUUUUGGAAAAAUUGCCAAAACGGAACAAAAAUUUAGUACUGUUGUCCCUUUGGUAUAAAAUCAUCAUUAAGUUGUUUCUAUGGUAUAAUAUUUUUCAUAAUCCCAAAAUUAACCUUGGGUUAAUAAAAUUAAACACAAUUUAAAAGUUAAAAUGAAUUUUAAAAAGUCUAAUAAAAAAUAAACAAACGUUUUAGAAAGACAAAAUAAAUUAAAAUAAAAAUAAAAGAAAAAGGCUCAAAAACCCGUAACCUAACUGUUUGUUUCUCCGCCUCUCUCUCUCUCUCUCUCUCUCUCUCUCUCUCUCUCUCUCUCUCUCUCUCUCUCUCUCUCUCUCUCUCUCUCUCUCUCUCUCUCUCUCUCUCUCUAUCUAGACGAACAAGAAGGAGAUUCUGUGUCUUCUCCGGUGAAAUCAACGGCGAGUCUACCAACCGAUGAAAUCGAGCUUUCCACCGUGGGUUUGAUCGAAUCUCUCCCCUUCGUCUUACUCCACUUCUCUCGCUCCACGAACAAGAAAGCAAUUUCAGAGCUUCUCUAGAUGAUUGGUGAAAUAUACUCUCUCUUCCGGCGGAAGCCCUUCAUCUUGUUCUCUCCGUCUCUCUCUUUCUCCGACAUCGCUAGCCGUGAGGGAGAUGAUUUUUGAACAGAUGCUUUAUCUUUGGAAGUGAUGUGGGCUGAUCAAGAUGCUAUUAGAGCUGGAGUUGGGAAGUAGCCGUGGAGAAGAAUCAGGCAGCUAGCACUUCCCACGGAUGAUCUGUUGCUCUGUACGAUCGCGGCGUUGGUAUAGGAAACUGAUCAUACAAAAAUACAGUAGUAUGGAGAAUAUUGCGGAAGAGAAUAAUAGCAUGGCUGGUCAGCUUGAUGUCUGGAAGCUUCUUGAUGAUGCGCAUCACUUUGUCGUGAGACUGUUUUUUUCCCACAAUUGUAUUAUGGAUAAUAUAAGUUCAAUUGUAGCUAUUCCAUUUCUCGCUUCCACA